GACGAACGCUGGCGGCGUGCCUAAUACAUGCAAGUCGAACGCAGUGGGGACGGGUGAGUAACACGUGGGUAACCUCCCAUCAGAGGGGAUAACACUUGGAAAAAGGUGCUAAACCGAUAUUUAUGGUUGGACCCGCGGUGCAUUAGCUAGUUGGUGAGGUAACGGCUCACCAAGGCCACGAUGCAUAGCCGACCUGGGAGGGUGAUCGGCCACACUGGGACGGAGACACGGCCCAGACUCCGACGGUAGGCAGCAGUAGGGAAUCUUGGGCAAUGGACGAAAGUCGGACCGAGCAAGGCCGCGGGAGUGAAGAAGGUUUUCGGAUCGUAAAACUCUGUUGUUAGAGAAGCGGUAUCUAACCAGAAAGCCACGGCUAACUACGUGCCAGCAGCCGCGGUAAUAC
rnacentral:rRNA from 1 species